UCCAGACUCCUACGGGAGGCAGCAGUGGGGGAUAUUGCACAAUGGGGGGAACCCUGAUGCAGCGACGCCGCGUGGGUGAAGGAGCGUUUCGGCGCGUAAAGCCCUAUCGGCAGGGAAGAAGGAGGACGGUACCUGACUAAGAAGCCCCGGCUAACUACGUGCCAGCAGCCGCGGUAAUACGUAGGGGGCAAGCGUUAUCCGGAUUUACUGGGUGUAAAGGGGGCGCAGGCGGCAUUAUAAGUUAGUGGUAAAAUAUUGGGGCUUCACCUCACUACGCCAUUAAUACUGUAGAGCUAGAGAACAGACGAGGUAGGCGGAAUAAGUUAAGUAGCGGUGAAAUGCAUAGAUAUAACUUAGAACACCGAUAGCGAAGGCAGCGUACCAGACGGAGUCUGACGCUGAUGCACGAGAGCAUGGGUAGCGAACAGGAUUAGAUACCCUCGUACGA
rnacentral:rRNA from 1 species